AUUACUUAUUUCGCGUCAUUUAUCGUAUCAAUUGUGAAUCCCGAGUUUCAAGUGCGGAAAUUCCGCUUUGGAAGAUGAGAGAUAAUUCAACGACAAAAAUCUUACAUUCCAACUGUAUUUAUAAACAGAACAGAAGAAACUGACUUUAUUUUGUGUAGGCUCGUUGUUGAAUCAUCUUCAGGAAAAUUAAUUCAGAUAUGUCAGCACCCAGAGACAACAAUGACCGGAAGCCGUUUCCGCCGCCAUAUGAAAUACCGCAUCCACCGCCAAAUUCUACCAAUGGAACACGUUCAACUGCCUGACCCGCAUACCACAUAAAUAGUGAGACAUUAGUAUAGUAUACAAGUACAUGUAUAGUAAGUAUACUUCUAGUAUGGGAUGUACUGCCACUCCAAGCAUACCGCACG